rnacentral:rRNA from 1 species
AUUGAACGCUAGCGGGAUGCUUUACACAUGCAAGUCGAACGAGUGGCGGACGGGUGAGUAAUAUAUCGGAACGUGCCCAGUAGCGGGGGAUCACUACUCGAAAGAGUGGCUAAUACCGCAUACUCUGUGGCCGGCCGAUAUGGGCUUGGCUAGUUGGUGGGGUAAAGGCUCACCAAGGACACGCUCCUUAGCUGGUUUGAGAGGACGACCAGCCACACUGGGACUGAGACACGGCCCAGACUCCUACGGGAGGCAGCAGUGGGGAAUUUUGGACAAUGGGGGAAACCCUGAUCCAGCCAUCCCGCGUGUAUGAGAAGGCCUUCGGGUUGUAAAGUACUUUUGGCAGAGAAGCGGUAUCUGCAGAAUAAGCACCGGCUAACUACGUGCCAGCAGCCGCGGUAAUUC